rnacentral:rRNA from 1 species
UACGUAGGGGGCAAGCGUUGUCCGGAAUCAUUGGGCGUAAAGCGCGUAUAGGCGGUUCAGUAAGUCUGCUGUGAAAGUCCAGGGCUCAACCCUGGGAUGCCGGUGGAUACUGCUGGGCUAGAGUACGGAAGAGGCGAGUGGAAUUCCCGGUGUAGCGGUGAAAUGCGCAGAUAUCGGGAGGAACACCAAUUGCGAAGGCAGCUCGCUGGGACGUCACUGACGCUGAGACGCGAAAGCGUGGGGAGCGAACGAGG